ACGGAAGGGCAGCAGUGGGGAAUAUUGGACAAUGGGGGAAACCCUGAUCCAGCGACGCCGCGUGAGUGAAGAAGUAUUUCGGUAUGUAAAGCUCUAUCAGCAAGAAAGAAAAUGACGGUACUUGACUAAGAAGCCCCGGCUAACUACGUGCCAGCAGCCGCGGUAAUACGUAGGGGGCAAGCGUUAUCCGGAUUUACUGGGUGUAAAGGGAGCGUAGACGGCGAUGCAAGUCUGAAGUGAAAGCCCGGGGCUCAACCCCGGAACUGCUUUGGAAACUGUAUAGCUAGAGUGCGGGAGAGGUAUGUGGAAUUCCUAGUGUAGCGGUGAAAUGCGUAGAUAUUAGGAGGAACACCAGUGGCGAAGGCGACAUACUGGACUGUAACUGACGUUGAGGCUCGAAGGCGUGGGGAGCAAACAGGAUUAGAUACCCUGGUA
rnacentral:rRNA from 1 species